rnacentral:rRNA from 1 species
GCAGUGGGGAAUAUUGCACAAUGGGCGCAAGCCUGAUGCAGCCAUGCCGCGUGUGUGAAGAAGGCCUUCGGGUUGUAAAGCACUUUCAGCGGGGAGGAAGGCGUUAAGGUUAAUAACCUUGGCGAUUGACGUUACCCGCAGAAGAAGCACCGGCUAACUCCGUGCCAGCAGCCGCGGUAAUACGGAGGGUGCAAGCGUUAAUCGGAA